CAGUCGCCGCGGUAACACGAAGGGUGCAAGCGUUAAUCGGAAUUACUGGGCGUAAAGCGUGCGUAGGCGGUGAGUUAAGUCUGCUGUGAAAUCCCCGGGCUCAACCUGGGAAUGGCAGUGGAUACUGGCUCGCUAGAGUGUGUCAGAGGAUGGUGGAAUUCCCGGUGUAGCGGUGAAAUGCGUAGAGAUCGGGAGGAACAUCAGUGGCGAAGGCGGCCAUCUGGGACAACACUGACGCUGAGGCACGAAAGCGUGGGGAGCAAACAGGAUUAGAUACCCGCGUAGUCCCUGUCUCUUAUAC
rnacentral:rRNA from 1 species